CAAGGAUUCCCCUAGUAACUGCGAGUGAAGCGGGAAAAGCUCAAAUUUAAAAUCUGUCAGCCUUUGGCUGUCCGAGUUGUAAUCUAGAGAAGUGUUAUCCGCGCUGGACCGUGUACAAGUCUCCUGGAAUGGAGCGUCAUAGAGGGUGAGAAUCCCGUCUUUGACACGGACUGCCAGGGCUUUGUGAUGCGCUCUCAAAGAGUCGAGUUGUUUGGGAAUGCAGCUCAAAAUGGGUGGUAAAUUCCAUCUAAAGCUAAAUAUUGGCGAGAGACCGAUAGCGAACAAGUACCGUGAGGGAAAGAUGAAAAGAACUUUGGAAAGAGAGUUAAACAGUACGUGAAAUUGCUGAAAGGGAAACGCUUGAAGUCAGUCGCGUUGUCCAGGGAUCAACCUUGCUUUUGCUUGGUGUACUUUCUGGUUAACGGGUCAGCAUCAAUUUUGACUGUUGGAAAAAGAUCAGGGGAAUGUGGCAUCUUCGGAUGUGUUAUAGCCCUUGGUUGCAUACMAUGGUUGGGAUUGAGGAACUCAGCACGCCGCAAGGCCGGGUUUUAACCACGUACGUGCUUAGGAUGCUGGCAUAAUGGCUUUAAUCGACCCGWCUUGAAACACGGACCAAGGAGUCUAACAUGCCUGCGAGUGUUUGGGUGGAAAACCCGAGCGCGUAAUGAAAGUGAAAGUUGARAUCCUUGUCAUGGGGAGCAUCGACGCCCGGRMCARACCUUUUGUGACGGUUCMGCGGUAGAGCAUGUAUGKUGGG
rnacentral:rRNA from 1 species